GACGAACGCUGGCGGCGUGCUUAACACAUGCAAGUCGAACGACGUGGCGCACGGGUGAGUAACGCGUAAUUAACCUGCCCUUCAGAGGGGGAAAACAGUUGGAAACGACUGCUAAUACCGCAUACUGAAGGAGGGGAUUGCGUCUGAUUAGCGAGUUGGAGGGGUAACGGCCCACCAAGGCGAAGAUCAGUAGACGGUCUGAGAGGAUGAACGGCCACAUUGGGACUGAGGACGCGCCCAGAAUCCUAAUGGAGGCAGCAAGGGGGAAUCUUCCGGAAUGGACGAAAGUGUGACGGAGCAACUCCGCGUGAGUGAUGACGGCUUUCGGGUUGUAAAGCGCUUUUAAUCGGGACGCGGUACCGGAAUAGAAAGCCACGGCUAACUACGGGCCAGCAGACGCGGUAAUAC
rnacentral:rRNA from 1 species